GGAGCUGAGCCCGAGUGGCGCAGGCACCUGGCGAGGGCCGGGAGCGUGAAAAGGGCCCGUGCAGCCCGACGCGCAGAGCGGUCGCGGGCGAUGCCACCGCGCCCAGCUUGUGCUUCUUACUGUGCAAAGGAUGCGGUCAGCACGGCUUGGCGAGACCCUGUCUCCAAACGCAGCGGCGGUGCCCGGUCCUCCGGGCUGAGCACUGAACUCAACCCGCAGGACACUCCACGCCAGCGAUACCUCCUCCCAGCGCUGCUGGCCACAAACUCCUGGUCACCUGCUUCAGGGGCCUCUGGGAGUUUGCUGCGGUCUGCCUGGCCGGGUGCAUGUAUAACGUUCACUUACGAGGUGGCAGCCAGCACUUACUGAGCGCCUCUGCACUUCCGGCGUCCUGCUGGCCCUUGACAAACAGCCGUGGGUGGCUCCCGCCAGCUGCUGGGAGUCCUUUCUUCGCUGGUAGCAGCACCACUGUGCAGCCCUGGUGCUGGCUAAGCCUGCCCCACACCUUGUCCUUAACCGGGGUAUGGACAUCAGCACCCCACAGCCGAUGGAGCAACCAGGAGCAUCGGCUGGGAGCCCCUUGACGGGAGCUGGGCGCACAGUGGGGCCUGGCAGAUUCCGGUCAGGGGGCACCCCAUCCUGAAGGCGGGUCCUAGGGUGGUCAGGCUGGGGCAGCACCCAGGCCAGCACAAGCAAGGUGCCGGGCGUUCGAGGACUCAGGACAGGUGGGGAGGCCUGGUCUCCGCUGCAGGCCAAGGCUGCUCCCCGCCCCUCCCAGCGAGCCCGAGGUGCCCUGCUCAUCCUGGGCUGGGAACAGUGAGCCAGCAAAAUUCCCGACAAGCCUGGGCUGGAGAGAACUGGCGAGGCCUCUGCUGAGUCUCAGUCGGUCGGGCCCGAAGCCUGCGGCAGAAAACGAGCCAGGUGUCGCCUGCGUUGUCAGCUUCACCUGCAUGGGGACAUCCCUGGUCAGCUCUCCCUGUGGUCUGCAGGAUCCAGGCAGCUAUGAAAGGGCCGGAAGCAGUGUGAGCCCAGCCGUGCCCAGGGCCCCUCUGCUGGCUUCAAACUCUGCCCCUCCCUGGCUGGGCCGGCUGUGAGCCAGAAUGGAGCUCCUGGUUCCCCAGCUCACCCCCCUCCUCCAGGACAGGACAGGCCCAGGAGACAGGAGGGAAACCGAGGCAUGGGAGCGCAUCCUGUCGUGUCUGCAGUGCUGGAGAGGACGUCACUGUGAGCAGCUCCAAGCGCCAGAGCCUCCGAGGCUCCGGCAGAGCCAGGCUGGUGGUGAGGGCUACAGACCGCCGGCCCAGACUUCAGGAACACACCAUCCCUCUGGGCUGAGACUGCAGGUCUGUGAUCCGGGCAUUCGCAGAGACUGAGAGCAGCGUCCCCACUCUGUCCUGGCCAUCAGCAGCAUCUCAGCCUUCAUGUGUACGGUGUCCCCAGAGUCUGCAGAGACGUCCCUGUGUAUCCGGACACUGGGCAUCAGUCCACAUAACCCAGGCCAGCCUCGAUCUCCCCGGGAUCUUCCUGCCUCAGCCUCCCGAGUGCUACAAUCACAGGCACCACUACGCUGGGCUCCUUUUUCACUGGCUUAUUUUAUAUUAAGAAGGACUGUGAGAAUCUCUCUAGGCGGAUAGUUUCAGUUCUUCUACAGGAGAUGCAGGUGACCCCUGACCUGCAGAGCACCCCCGGGGCCAGGCCAUCAGGGGGACUCCAGAGGGGCCCAAGGCCGCCGCUGACCAGGGCAGACCCAAGUGGGCGUGGUGAAGUCAGCAGUGUGGAUGCUGCCUGGGCUCUGUGUCCCCAGAGGCGCUGAGGGAGCCCUGCAGCCCAGCUCCAUGCCAGCUGGACCCUGGGGCUCCACUGGGCCGGAUGCCACCUGGGCUGGUGGCCCACUGGCCACCUUCCUGAGCCGGGUGCCUCCCCAGCAGCAGAGCUGCCAGCUGGCUCUCUCCGUUCCUCCCCAGGUGAGCUGCUGGAGCAGCCUGUGAGGCCCCUCGCUGAGGCUGUGCACACUGAGACCAGGUCAGCCUGAAGGUUUUACUGAUUUUAUUUUUUAUUCUGAUAUUUUUGCAGUGCUGGGGAUUGAACCCAGGCCCUCUGGCCUGCCCUGCAUCCCCAGCCCUUUCUUUUAAAACAGGGUGCUGCUCAGGCUGGCCUCGAACUUUCAGUCCUCCUGCCUCAGCCUCCCAAGUAGCUGGGAUCACAGGUGUGGCCCCCCCGCCCCAUCUCCCCCCCGGACAUUUUCGGGGGUCACUGGGCUGCUGUGGGAGGCAAGGCUGACUGAGGGCUGAGGGGACCCACCCGGGAUCCCCCAGGGAAGCAGCCUGCGGUGCUGGGUGCCACUCGUGGUGGUGCAGCCCCAGGCGUCUGGGGCAGGACUCAACUCCACACCCAGGGGUCUCUGCUCUGGCUCUCACCGAGGUGCCUGCCCCAGGGCAUCGUGGGAGGGACGGGGUUAAGCAGGGCACACGCCGUGGCCACAGCUGAGCUGGGGAGGGCAGAGGGGUGGGGGCAGGGCUCGCACAGCUGGGCGCCCGCCUGUGGGGGACCCCAAAGCCCAGGCAGCUGGCCAGGGGGGAUCCCAGAUUCCCAGGAGAUGAGGUCACCCGGCCUCCACCAAUCAGGCCUCCCAGCACCAAGAAAGGGUUUUUCCCGGCCAGGAAUGCAGAGGUUUCCAUGGCCAAGGAGGGAGGAGCCCUGGGCCCCGCCAGAGACCGGCAGCCCAGCCUGGCUGGAGAGACGGAUGCUGGGCAGCCAGGAGGGGGAGGCGGGGUGGGGACAGACACGUCCGCAUUGUCUGGUGGCCAGGACACCGGACCGGGGAGGCCAGCGGCUCUGCCACCCCAGGCCUGGCCACGUGGGCUUUUCUUUUCUUAGGAAAGGUAAAAAGCAGGCUCUGCUUAAAUUCUUUCAACCCCAGAUGGACGAUUUUCCCAAUAAACUAGGACGUGGCAGCCAAUAAUCGCUGCACUUGGGAGGCUGAGGCGGGAGGAUCGCUGUGAGUUUGUGAAUAUCCUGGGCUACAUAGCAAGAUUUUGUCUCAAAAAAAUAAAAUAAAAU
ensembl:lncRNA